ACUCCUGAAGGGUCCUUAAGGAAAUCAGGUUGUUGUUAGCAGGCUUCAUUUGGUCUGCAAGAAAAAAGAAAUCACCUUUGGGGCACUUUUUGAGGUCUGUUGGUACACAGGAGCGAUUUGAAUGGUCCUUUCUUUUAGAAGUGUUUAUCCUGAUAAUUCUUUGGUUGGUAAAUUCGUGGUUUGGGAUUAAACAUAGCAAUAUAUUUUUAGGGGGCUGAUUAAUGGCCACAGGUGGAUUUAGCUGCAGUGGUUAAGGUGUUUUCUCUGCCCUGCUGUCAAUCUGGGGUUAUUUAGAUACGUGGGCAGGGGACAGCUGAGCAGGAUGGGGUUCCACUCUGCCCCCAGCACCCAGACCUGCUGUCUGCUGGGAAUCACAGCUCCUCACUCUGCUUGUAUCACACGUUUGUGUAGAGGUGUUUUGUUCUUUUGUUUUUGUGGGGCUUGUUAAUAUCAUGACUCGGGGGGAAAACGUGCACAUAACGGUAGAACUGAAAGGAAUAGAAAUCUUUGCAUCGGGAAAAGCAAAGCCAGUGCCUGGCUUGAGUGCGAGAACCAUCAACCAGAGACAUCCAUCCCCGCGUGGCUCCAUCGCUGACACCCCCACCCCAAAAUGGGUGGGGGCAGCAGCGGAACCUCCUCACCCCCCACCUCCCAGGACCGAAGCGUUCUUCAAACAGCAGCGGAAAGUCACCGGCACCCGCCCCCCCGCAUCACCUUCCUGCCGCCGAGGGAGGAAAGUUUCGGAGCUUGUGGGGUUUGUUUGAUCUCUGCUUCCAGUCUUGGCAAGUCCUGACUGCCUGAACGAGGCACCGCAACUAAUAGGAUAUGCUUCCUGGACUUAACAUUUCCAGGAUCCCAUUGCUCAGUGCAGACAUGGCACCAGGAGGGUGAGCCAAGAGCCCAGCAUACAGCAGGAACGGAGCCCUAUGCCACAGGAACGACGUGCAUCAGAGGCUUUAGAUUUGUAACCAAGCAAUUUCCAUUUGUGUUAUGUAACUGACGUUAUUUAUCGAGCCCCGUGCCCUGGCCAAGAGCAGAUGUUGGACUGCAGCAUUGGAAAUGAACUUUCUGGAGUGUUGGAAUCCUGUAACCACAGCACAUCAAGAUGAUGAGAACUCAAUUAAAUUAAGGAGAAACACCAAGAUUGUGAAACUUGGCAGUAGGGCAAGAGCUGGUUGCAACACAGGCCGGACUUUAGAACUCUGACCUUUUGACCUGAAUCACGACGAGUGGUUAUGAGGAAGGGCUGCUCUCACUACUAUAGCCAUGCAAUGAACAGAUUUCCACAGGGUGGCUGAAGUUGUGUCCUGAGAUAUGAGGGAUGCAAGCAUCCUAACCCUGCUCUAUUUUGUACUACAAGACUGGUCUUAGAGGAGAGGAAAAGCUGAGCCCUAAAAGGGAGGCCGGUGCGUGGUGUAUCCAAUAAUUGCAUUUAUGAAUAAACAAGUAUUACCAAUGAAUCUCUUGCAUUUUAUUGACCCAGGCACAGAGGCUGCUUUUUGGCACUGAUGACUUGCUCAGUUCACGCUUGACAAUGGGGAAUUGUAGUGGCUGUUCCCUUAAGAAAUCAUCCAAGAUUGGGAUUUAUUUGUGCACCAUUGCUUGCAUCAAUUAACAGCACAAUCUUUUUGUUAUGAAAACGCAAACAUUAGUAGCCUAAGGAGCCCUGUAAAUGCAAAUAUAAAACU